CUCCUUUGAGCUCAACGAGAUAAACACUUCCUAUAUCUCCGUAACCUAGCCGUUUCAAGACGCGGAAAUCGCUGAUUCCGAGCUUGACUCCUCUGGCUUUCAUAUAGUUCACCGCGUCCCACCUGAUAUCUCCUCCUGUGUGAGGCUUGUUGGAUGAUGUGCUUUCCAUGCUGUUGCUUCGUGAGCUCAUGUUACUGUGUACAAGACGGGGAUUCAGAUUGAUGAUGGUUGUUGAGAUGUUGAGGCCGAGUCACGAUGAAGACUCUUCUGCAAGUAACCAAAAAAGAACAUUAUUGUUAUGAGUUUCACAACUUUCUGUAAAAUAGUUUGUGUAUAUGACACAACUUUAUAGUCUUUAUCGACAUGAUAUUUUGUGUUUAUCUAU